rnacentral:rRNA from 1 species
AUGGAAGGAGCCAUCUCCAGCCGGCCAAACAAGAGGAUCGCCGUCGUCACCGGCGGGAACAAGGGGAUCGGCUUCGAGGUGUGCCGACAACUAGCCAGGGAUGGAGGAGUCACGGUCGUUCUGACAGCUCGGGACGAGACGAGGGGCGCGGGGGCGGCCGAGAAGCUCAGACCGCUGGGGGUCACCGACGUCGUCUUCCAUCAGCUGGACAUCACAGACGCUUCGAGCAUUGCUACGUUAGUCGAUUUCCUCGAGGCCCGUUUCGGGAAGCUGGACAUCCUGGUCAAUAAUGCCGGCGUUGGUGGGGUUGAGUACCCCCAAGAACUCGAUGCCAACGACGAGAAGUUCGCCGGCCUCGACUCCAACCAGAGACUUGAAUGGAUGGUGAAGAAUGUCCGGGAGCCCAUCGACGCCGCAAGGAAAGCCGUGGAGACAAACUACUAUGGCACCAAGCAUGUAAUCCAGGCCCUGCUGCCUCUGCUGCUGCAAUCUUCCUCCCAGGGAAGGAUAGUGAAUGUCUCCUCCGAAUAUGGACUGCUAAGGCUUAUUAGGAACGAGGAGGUGAGGCGGGACCUCAACGAUAUCCACAACCUGACAGAGGAGAGGCUAGACGAGGUGCUGGACAAGUUCUUGCAAGACUUCGAGGCCGAUGCGCUCGAGGCGCACGGGUGGCCCACGGGGUUCUCGGCAUACAAGGUGGCCAUGGCCGCCACCAACGCCUACACGAGGAUCUUGGCCAGGAGGCACCCCACGCUGCGCGUCAACUGCGCGCAUCCGGGCUAUGUCAAGACAGACAUGAGCAUGGGCUCAGGUGUCCUGACGCCCGAGGAGGGAGCACGCGGCGUGGUGAAGGUGGCGCUGCUGCUGGACGGUGGCCCAACCGGCAAGUACUUCACCAAAGGCGAGGAGGCGUCGUUCGUGUGA